UUGUUGGUAAGGUAAAAGCUUACCAAGGCUUCGAUCAGUAGCUGGUCUGAGAGGACGACCAGCCACACUGGGACUGAGACACGGCCCAGACUCCUACGGGAGGCAGCAGUGGGGAAUUUUGGACAAUGGGGGCAACCCUGAUCCAGCCAUGCCGCGUGAGUGAAGAAGGCCUUCGGGUUGUAAAGCUCUUUCAGCCGGAACGAAACGGUUACGGUUAACACCCGUGACUACUGACGGUACCGGAAGAAGAAGCACCGGCUAACUACGUGCCAGCAGCCGCGGUAAUACGUAGGGUGCGAGCGUUAAUCGGAAUUACUGGGCGUAAAGCGUGCGCAGGUGGUUUUGUAAGUCAGAUGUGAAAGCCCCGGGCUCAACCUGGGAACUGCGUUUGAAACUACAAGACUAGAGUGUGGCAGAGGGGGGUGGAAUUCCGCGUGUAGCAGUGAAAUGCGUAGAGAUGUGGAGGAACACCGAUGGCGAAGGCAGCCCCCUGGGUCAACACUGACGCUCAGGCACGAAAGCAUGGGGAGCAAACAGGAUUAGAUACCCUGGUAGUCCAUGCCCUAAACGAUGUCAACUAGUUGUCGGGCCUUUACGGGCUUGGUAACGUAGCUAACGCGUGAAGUUGACCGCCUGGGGAGUACGAUCGCAAGAUUAAARCUCAAAUGAAUUGACGGGGACCCGCACAAGCGGUGGAUUAUGUGGAUUAAUUCGAUGCAACGCGAAAAACCUUACCUACCCUUGACAUGUAUCGAAGCCCGCAGAAAAGCGGGGGUGCCCGAAAGGGAACGAUAACACAGGUGCUGCAUGGCUGUCGUCAGCUCGUGUCGUGAGAUGUUGGGUUAAGUCCCGCAACGAGCGCAACCCUUGUCAUUAAUUGCCAUCAUUUAGUUGGGCACUUUAAUGAGACUGCCGG
rnacentral:rRNA from 1 species